UACGGAGGGUGCAAUCGUUGUUCGGAAUUAUUGGGCGUAAAGGGCGCGUAGGCUGUUGUGUAAGUCAGAUGUGAAAUACUUCGGCUUAACCGAAGAACUGCAUUUGAAACUGCACAGCUAGAGUACAGGAGAGGGAAAUGGAAUUCCCGGUGUAGAGGUGAAAUUCGUAGAUAUCGGGAGGAACACCAGUGGCGAAGGCGAUUUCCUGGCCUGAUACUGACGCUGAGGCGCGAAAGCGUGGGGAGAAAACAGG
rnacentral:rRNA from 1 species